CACUGGAAUAUUUUCAAGUCUUUUUGACCCGGAACCUGGUUUUGGACCAAUGUGUUCCCUGACCCUGCUUGUUAUUCCAACCUCUCCUUCUGCCUGCAACGUGACUGGGUUAGUAACUCCCACCUAUCUUGUUCAUUGACCUUUGCAAUUAGAAGUUUGGUCUGGAUUUUUAGAUCUUGGACUAUAGAUACUUGACUGCUGGGUUUUGACCGAGUUUGGACAUUUUGAUUUGGAUUGUGGACCUCCACUACUCCGUCUUAGUGAAUCUUUGAGCACCAAAGUACAAAAUUGUGACCUGUCUGAAUUUAGUGUCUCCUCUAGCCUACAUGUAUUCCCCAGCUGUGUGUGUCAGUACUUUGUCAUUUCUUUGAGUAAGCCUAAUUUGGACACGCAUCAUUGUCUGUUUUACAUUGUACUCACCUGUGCUCUGCUCAAGAGAACUCCAUCCACCACUUUUCCCCGCUCUCAAAGGAAUCUCCCUAUUAUUUUGCAAUGGGAGUUUUUCCAUUGAUUUUCUUAUGACAAAAACAACUAAACGAAAGCAUGACAUGACUGUACAGAUUGGUAUUUCUGACUGUGGGAACACCUAUAUCCACAGUCUGUUUUGAGUAGACAUUCUUUGCCCUCAAGAGAAUCUAAAGGUAUGUCAAGUAUAUCAAUGGACAGUCUCCUCGCAACCCGAGCUGUGGCUAAUCAAAAAGACUUUUUGGUGGAAAUGAAACGCAUAGAUCACCUGAUAGUCAUUGAAGACUUCCCACAUAAAGGACAGAGGACGUAUUUCCAUCUGUAAAUAAUCAGCAUCUCUCGAUGUGGCAGGAAACCCACGCAGGCAUGGGAGAACAUCCAAACUCCACACAGGCAGACCAGGGAUUUGAACGCCAGUCCUGAGAACUAAGAAUGACAUUACCAAGCCGACGAAGGCCCACUAAGUCAUCUCAUCAGUGUGUCAUACUCUCUUCCCUCUUGUGACUUUCUGAUGCUGAAUUAUAAUUGACUCCAUUUGCAUAACUUCAUUUGAAAAGCUUGAGACAGGACUGUACCACAGGGCAUCCAGAGUACUGUGAAAUAAAGAAGAGCAGCAGUCGUAGAAGGAAAAAUAAAAAGCUAUGCUAAGUAUUAGUUUAACUGGUAACUAAACUCUGGGUCGUAAACUCUUCCCCUGGUGAUACAAAUCAUCAGAUUUUGUUUCAGAAACCAUUAUCAACACAACCAGUUUCUUCUCUAUUGUGUCCAGCAAAAGUGCAAGCUUCAGGUCGCUUCCUAAUUGGCUAUUGUUCCGUUUCACGUGAUAAUCAAGUCUAUACCUCAGUGGAUCAUCUUUUUCCAAGCAAAUCGGGAAGGAAUUCAAAUGCAAAAAUAUCCAAGCUCUCUCCAUGCUAUUUGUUUCAGGCAAGGAAGUCCUAAAUCCUAAAAUUAGCGUCUUGAAUCUGACUUGAGGCAAGUCACGUGACUAGAUUCCCACACCCCUGCCUUGUACCAUCACAAGUACUACACAACGUGGUCAAAUUGUGAAUGAGCAUGUGCGCCGGGCAAUCUAUAACCUCAGCGUUUGCUUUAAAAUGUAUUUACGUCUGCUCCGUUGAUAUAUAUUCAUUUAAUCUGGUAACAUAUUAAUUCCACAUCUAUACAUGGGAAGGUCUGUAUUCCAUUAGCAGCUGAUUGAGGUGCCGCACAGUAUGGUUUCAUCAACCCUCCUACGUGUCGAACGCAGCUGCAUACCUCAGUCUGGGCGACUCCCUACUCCCUCACAAUUUGGCAACCCGCUGUGCCGGGCGCACACAGACAUCAAUUAGAGAAAGGUUACCUUGCGCUUGUGCUACCGGCUGCUUGUCUUGCCUGCUACAGAAGAGACAAUAGAGGGAAAAAGAUGAGGGCUUUGGACUUCUGUGAGCAAUUUAAAUCCGCCCUCUUUCACAGAAUCUACCCGCGGCCAACAACCAUCACAACCCACUCUCCCUUGAUUUUCUAAAUCCGGCCACGUGUUCCAUUUUCCAAAAGGUCACCUUUCUACUCCUUGUAGAUUUUUCAUAAGCGACAGAAGACAACACGCCAUUAAUUAAUCUAUAAAGCCACAUGUGUUUUGCUUACAAAUAUAAAUACAAUGGCCGCUCUUUUUUGUGUCUUGGGUCACAAGCAAAUAUUUUAGUAACAUGCAGCAGUAUGGCAGAUAGAGAACAAUUCUUCACGUUAUAACAUCAAUAUCAUGUUGCGUAUGUAGCCAUACACGGAACUUUGCCCUAUGAAAUUCUGCUAUCUUAAUGCUCAAACACAAUGUAAAACAUGAUAGGCAGGAUUACAAAACUAGCAUCGAUGUAGUACUGGUCUGUUGCAUUUUGCUUUUCAAAUUGCAAUUACCAGUUUGUUCUGCGCUUUGCUCAUGUCAGUCACUGUGUGUCUGUUGGCUCGCGGCCUUGGAGUAUCGUCUUAGAUAGCUACACUGUAUACUGGACAGGAGCUAAGUUUAGUUUAGGUUGUUAAUGAGAUUAUUUCCCUGUGUGCACCUAGAUUGGAUUUGUUUGAAAUGAAAUCAUUUGUGAGAUAUUUUUUUUUUUAUAGGCAAUAAUUACAGAAGAAAAUAUAUUUAACUGUUUUGGGAUCAGUCCGUUGUGGUAAAGAUGGAGCUAAGUCAAAAGGCAAAGCUCUCAAUUUACCAGUCGAUUUAUGUUCCUACCCUCACUUAUGGGCACGAGCUGUGGUUCAUGACCGAAAGAACAAGAUCCCGGAUACAAGGAGCUGAAAUGAGUUUCCUCCACAGGCUGUCCAGUGUGACAGUCUGAGUGCUCCCCCAUGCUGAAAAGUCCCCUUGGGAUUAAUGCGCAUGUGCAUAGAAUUUUUGGAAUUUUUGGAAAUGUUCUACUUUUUCUAAAUCCGUGCCAGUCUGAAACUUCCCCAUCCAUGCUUCUUCCGCAUGUUCAUUUUUGCUCCGCUUCAGUGUGUUCAUUUUGCUAUGGACGUCUCACAAAGCCAAACACAGCGAAUGAAAGAAUACAGAAACAAAUGUGAACGUAUUGUUUAUUUAUCAAAUGGAAGGCACGUUCCACCAUUGAACAAGAAUCAACAGUGGAUUGUUCGGGUAUGGG